CAGUAGCCACGGUAAUACGGAGGGUGCAAGCGUUAUCCGGAUUUAUUGGGUUUAAAGGGUCCGUAGGCGGAUCUGUAAGUCAGUGGUGAAAUCUCACAGCUUAACUGUGAAACUGCCAUUGAUACUGCAGGUCUUGAGUAAAUUUGAAGUGGCUGGAAUAAGUAGUGUAGCGGUGAAAUGCAUAGAUAUUACUUAGAACACCAAUUGCGAAGGCAGGUCACUAAGAUUUAACUGACGCUGAUGGACGAAAGCGUGGGGAGCGAACAGGAUUAGAUACCCCGGUAGUCCCUGUCUCUUAUAA
rnacentral:rRNA from 1 species